rnacentral:lncRNA from 1 species
ACCUUCACCAGCCUGCCUGUGUGAGACUGUUGGUCUGUGUGCCCAGCUCCCUGUGGCCUGUGUGUAUGUGCCAAAGCUAGCCAGUGUGUGGCUAUGUGAGGCAGGCCACCUGCCUCACCCAUGGACAAGGCCCCAGGUUCAAUCCCCCAGAGGAAACCACCAUCAAACAGAGGAAAAACCAAUCCUGUCUCUUCUGAGUCAUUCUCUUUCCUUCUAAGGGCACUGCCUGGGUCUUUUCUUGGGCUGGAAAAAUGCUCUGCUGAGAUGCAUAGAAACAAAAGAGCAGUUAGGUUCCUUAGAUUGGGUUCCAAAGGCCCACCGCUGCUACAGUACUCAGUUUUCCAGGCCCAGAGACAACUCUUAAGAAACAAAACCUGAAGAAGCCUGCUUAUACAGAAUUGGCAAGACCCGGACAAAGGAUGAAAAGGUGGUCACAGUGUUAAACAUUACAUGACGUUCAUUAGCAUGGUGAAAACAAACAACAAAUCAAAAAGGAGUCCAAGGGCCUGGCAGAAGAAUCAUAUCAGCACCUGUGGCAACUGUGUAUCUGAUUUCAUGAACAGAAGAAUGACCCGGAGGAUAGCCAGAGAAGCUCAUGAGUCCAGCUAGCCUGGAGCCAUAUCAAUGAUGGCAUAAUCAUCAGAUUUCCAAAAUCUAGGGCCAGCUUCCAGCUUUACUUCCAGAUUCUUACCAGGAUGGCGAUGCAUCUCCUUUUUCAGCUCGUCAAGCUUGUGGGCUAUGUGAGCUGUGUGUGUGACAAUCCAGCACAGGGUCACAGCAGCACUGAUCUGGCUUGCAUUGUUCCAUAUAGUCACUGGAGCAGUGAAGCCAGAUGCUUCCAUUCAUAGAUCAUUUCUGCUGUCACCAGCAAUGCUGCCACAUAGAAUAUCUUUGGCAGAAGCAUUCUUGUGUUUUAUUUAAUAAAUGUUGUUCUUUGGCAAUUCUCUGUACAUAUGUAAUGCAUUCUCAUCACUCCCCACCCCCCAGCACAACACUCCCUCUAUUAUUCCCUCUAUCCCCUUCCCCUUCCAGCCUCUCUUCUUCUUCCUUAGUCUCUUUCCCACAUUCAUGACAUUUUGCUUUGUUUUGUGUUCCACAUAGUAUCAUUGGGGCCAUCUGUGUG